rnacentral:rRNA from 2 species
UAGGCCGGGUGUGUAAGCGCAGCGAUGCGUUGAGCUAACCGGUACUAAUGAACCGUGAGGCUUAACCUUACAACGCCGAAGGUGUUU